rnacentral:misc_RNA from 1 species
AACGCACAUUGCGCCUCUCGGUAUUCCGGGAGGCACGCCUGUUCGAGCGCCAUUACAAACUCCAAGCAGAGCUUGAUGUUGGUCGGCGUGCCAUUCCGAGCGGAAAGGCACACGACUGGAACGCGUUGGCGCCGCCGCCAGACCACGAGCGUAGCAAGACGAGAGUCAUACGAUCGCAUCGGUUUUGGAUCUGACGGACGGCGGCCGGAAUUUUUGUAUACAGCAAGUUUGGCCUCGGAUCAGGCGGGGAUACCCGCUGAACUUAA